rnacentral:rRNA from 1 species
GACGAACGCUGGCGGCGUGCCUAACACAUGCAAGUCGAGCGGAGACAUGUUGUGGAAGUUUUCGGAUGGAAGCGAUAUGUUUAGCGGCGGACGGGUGAGUAACGCGUGAGCAACCUUUCUUUGACAGGGGGAUAACGUACCGAAAGGUACACUAAUACCGCAUAAGGCCACAGCACCGCAUGUGCAGGGGUGAAAGGAGCAAUCUGGUCAAGGGUGGGCUCGCGUCCGAUUAGCUAGUUGGUGAGGUGACGGCCCACCAAGGCGACGAUCGGUAGCCGACCUGAGAGGGUGAUCGGCCACAUUGGAACUGAGAUACGGUCCAAACUCCUACGGGAGGCAGCAGUGGGGAAUAUUGGGCAAUGGGGGGAACCCUGACCCAGCAACGCCGCGUGAAGGAAGAAGGCCUUCGGGUUGUAAACUUCUAUCCUUGGUGAAGAGGAGAAGACGGUAGCCAAGAAGGAAGCCCCGGCUAACUACGUGCCAGCAGCCGCGGUAAUACGUAGGGGGCAAGCGUUGUCCGGAAUGAUUGGGCGUAAAGGGCGUGUAGGCGGCGAUUUAAGUCUGGAGUGAAAGUCCUGCUUUUAAGGUGGGAAUUGCUUUGGAUACUGGAUGGCUAGAGUGCAGGAGAGGUUAGUGGAAUUCCCAGUGUAGCGGUGAAAUGCGUAGAGAUUGGGAGGAACACCAGUGGCGAAGGCGACUAACUGGACUGUAACUGACGCUGAGGCGCGAAAGUGUGGGGAGCAAACAGGAUUAGAUACCCUGGUAGUCCACACUGUAAACGAUGA